rnacentral:rRNA from 1 species
UACAGAGGUCUCAAGCGUUGUUCGGAUUCAUUGGGCGUAAAGGGUGCGUAGGUGGCUGGGUAAGUCAGGUGUGAAAUCUCGAGGCUCAACCUCGAAACUGCACUUGAUACUGCCUUGCUAGAGUACUGGAGAGGAGAUUGGAAUUUACGGUGUAGCAGUGAAAUGCGUAGAUAUCGUAAGGAAGACCAGUGGCGAAGGCGAAUCUCUGGACAGUUACUGACACUGAGGCACGAAGGCCAGGGGAGCAAACGGG